GCGCACGUUUAAAUUGUUUACGUCUUACUUUUCAAGUCGUAAUCUCCGUGUACUCGACUCCUUGGGCGAGCCAUGGCUCUUUCGAUGUCCUCGAAGAUUCUGCUAAACAACGGAGCUCAUCUACCUGCCAUCGGAUUUGGGACGUAUCGAAUCUCAGAAGCCGCCCUCAAUUCCCUGAUGCCUAUUGUGCUGCAGCAGGGAUACAGGCUGAUUGGAAUGUGAAUGCCGCACUCGCACAGCUUUGCCUGGAGAGGGGCUUCACUAUCCUGGAUAGUCUUGUGGACAGCUGGCCUGGAUUCCUGAGCAGGGAUGGUGUCCACCCCAGCCGGCUUGGCAACAAGGUGCUGGCAGACUUUCUGCACCGGCAGGCCUGUGCCUUGUCCACCCAUCUAGAGAGGAGACACAUCCAACAGUCCUACAAGGAGUCCAAGGCAUCUGCAUGGAGUGGGUGGGCUCGGCAGGAGCACUUUGCCAUCAACUUGGAAGUCGAUUUUCCAGCACUUGGUCCAGUACAUUGUGGACUCACCCUGUUGUCAAGUCGUCAGGAAGUUGGAUGAUGCUGUCUUCUUCCAGCUAAAUUAUGCAACUACUAAGAAGGGGAUCAGAAUUCUAUUUUGUAGCAGUUAUUUUACAAAUAAAUGUUAGUACAAUUUUUC
rnacentral:misc_RNA from 1 species